UGCUCUGGGCACCACAGUCUGCCCCUUCAGGCUCCUGGACACUCUCUCCUGUGGCCUUUGUGAUGUGGCUAUCCCUGCUCUCCCACUGCCUCACAGGCACUGCCUUCUCUGCCCCCUCCUUUUGUCUGUCAUGGUGGGUCUUUAGCUAAGUUCUUCUUGGGCUUCCCACACCACACGACCCCACCCCCCAGGCAAGCUGCUUGUCCCCUGGGGAUCUUGGGGAUCCCACAGACCAUUGGCCUUUGCUGGCAACUCUUCCUCAACUUGUUUCCUCCCCCCGUACUGACUCAUUCAUUCUUUCCCCAACUGUUUGCCAAGGACCUGCCUUUCACUAGGCCCUGAGCUCAGAUGCAGAAGUGAGCUGAAAAACCAUUUCUGCCUUGAGUUUUUCAGUCCAGCAAAGGAAACAGAGAUUAAUUAGACCCCUAACUAGGUUCUCAACAGAGGACCAUUUUACCCCCAUAGUACAUUUUGAAGUGUCUGCGAGACAUUUUUGAUCAUCACAAUUGGGAUCCGCCAUGGUAGUUCACUCUUGUGGGAUAUUGAGGUAGGGGGAUCAUUUGAGGCCAGGAGUUCAAGACCAGCCUAGGCAACAUAGCAAGACCCCCCAUCUCUACAAAAAGUUAAAAGAUUAGCCAGGCAUGUUGGUGCACACCUGUAGUCCCAGCUACUCAGGAGGCUGAGGCAGGAGGAUCCCUUGAGCCCAGGACGUCAAGGCUGCAGUGCACUAUGGUUGCACCACUGCACUCCAGCCUGGGCAACAGAGUGAGACUCCCAACUCCAAACAGACAAUUGGAGGCGGAUAGGUUUUCCUGGUGUCAAGCGGGUGGAAGCCAGGGAUGCUGUUCAAUGUCCCACAGUGCAAGGAGGCCUCCUCCCUAGAGAAUGAUCUGGCCCCAAG
rnacentral:lncRNA from 1 species